UUUUUAGUAUAAAUGUGUUCCAUGCAAUAUUUGGGACAUACUUAUGCUAUAA
rnacentral:pre_miRNA from 10 species